rnacentral:rRNA from 1 species
AGCAGCCGCGGUAAUUCCGGCUCCAAUAGCGUAUAUUAAAGUUGUUGCAGUUAAAAAGCUCGUAGUUGAAUUUCGGGGUCAGCAAGUUGAUCGUGCCACUGGUAUGUACUGGCUUUGCUGAUUCCUCCUUCUUGUAGAACCGUAAUGCCGUUAAGUUGGUGUUGCGGGAAAACAGGACUGUUACUUUGAAAAAAUUAGAGUGUUUAAAGCAGGCUAAGGCUUGAAUACAUUAGCAUGGAAUAAUGAAAUAGGACGACGAUCCUAUUUUGUUGGUUUCUAGGAUUGACGUAAUGAUUAAUAGGGAUAGUUGGGGGCAUUAGUAUUCAAUUGUCAGAGGUGAAAUUCUUGGAUUUAUUGAAGACUGACUACUGCGAAAGCAUUUGCCAAGGAUGUUUUCAUUAAUCAAGAACGAAAGUUAGGGGAUCGAAGACGAUCAGAUACCGUCGUAGUCUUAACCAUAAACUAUGCCGACUAGGGAUCGGAUGAUGUUAAUUUUAUAAUGACUCA